rnacentral:rRNA from 1 species
UACAGAGGGUGCAAGCGUUAAUCGGAAUUACUGGGCGUAAAGCGCGCGUAGGUGGCUAAGUAAGAUGGGUGUGAAAUCCCCGAGCUUAACUUGGGAAUUGCAUUCGAUACUGGUUGGCUAGAGUAUGGGAGAGGAUGGUAGAAUUCCAGGUGUAGCGGUGAAAUGCGUAGAGAUCUGGAGGAAUACCGAUGGCGAAGGCAGCCAUCUGGCCUAAUACUGACACUGAGGUGCGAAAGCAUGGGGAGCAAACAGG